rnacentral:rRNA from 1 species
GACAUCCUACGGGGCGCAGCAGUGAGGAAUAUUGGUCAAUGGGCGGGAGCCUGAACCAGCCACGCCGCGUGAAGGAAGAAGGCGCCAGGCGUUGUAAACUUCUUUUGUCGGGGAACAAAGGCGGAGACGCGUCUCCGGAUGAGUGUACCCGAAGAAAAAGCAUCGGCUAACUCCGUGCCAGCAGCCGCGGUAAUACGGAGGAUGCGAGCGUUAUCCGGAUUUAUUGGGUUUAAAGGGUGCGCAGGCGGGAGAUCAAGUCAGCGGUAAAAUGUCGGGGCUCAACCCCGGCCGGCCGUUGA